rnacentral:tRNA from 2 species
AAAAAGAUAAGCUAACUAAGCUAUUAGGUUCAUACCCUAAUUAUAGAAGUUAUAAAUCUUCUUCUUUUUA